rnacentral:lncRNA from 12 species
CGCCGAGGGCGGGGCUGGGGCUGGGCCCCGGGCGGAGCCGAGGGCGGGGGGAGGUGGGCGGAGCGGGGCUGGGAAGCGGCGCGGCCGAGGGGCUGCAGGAAAGUUGCGGGGAUCGGAGCGGCAGCAGCCGCGGAGCCGCGGGAGUGGGGACCGCCCCGCGGGGGCAGAGCGGGCGGCGCGCACCGGGGCGGCAGGGAGCGCCCCAGACCCGUCUCCCGGGGAUGUGUGGGGCCCCGAGCCUGGUGCGGGCGCGCGGCCGGGCACAGUACAGAUUUGAAGACCAAAAUGGAGAAAACAGAAAUGAUUGAUGAAGCAGGAGUGAAAUGGACACGUUAUAUGCAAAACAAGGGGGGCACUGGCUGUGGAGUAAUGGGCCCUUUGUGCUGAAACGUGGUCGUGUUGCAGGUCAUUCUUGGCAUUUAUGGGGUUAAAUCCACCCAGAAGCAGAAAUAAAAGUCACUAAUAGGAGCUUUGCCUCA